AAUAUCUGAUUUCUUAUCUUGUGUCCGAUAAAAAUACUUUUGGCUAUAGGUUUCAGUACUUCUAGAACUACGCGGACCGCACAUACCAGAACGCAAAUAAUACUUAUUUUCUAGCGGAAACGGCCAUUACAAAUUAUCUCCGCUGAUAAGAUAAAUUAAAUUGUGCUGCGCAUCUCAAGCAGCUUUUGUAAACAAACAAAAUUUUUGGCUAUUUAAUGGUCCCAGAGCACUUAACAAUUUUAGUUAUUCCAGGCUAAACAUAAAAUAAAGGUCAUAUACAAGUAUCUCUAGAUUUAAGAUGGCCGAUCAGAAACCAAGCACCCAACCCGGACAGUGCAGCGAAAAGUGCGAUCCCAACUGCAAAGACGCUAAUAAACAAGGAUGCUGCGCAACCGGCACCUGCACCAAGGAUCAGCAUCAGUGCACCGACAAGUGCGCAUCAUCGGGAAACUGCACCCGCAACCCGCAUCAGUGCAGCGAUAAAUGUGCCACGGAUAAGGCAGCCUGCGAGCAGAAAAAGAAUCUUCCUGGACGUACUCGCAUGAGUCCGGAGGAGUUGGAAGAGGCCCGCAAGCGCGAAGAAGCACGCAAAGCCGGCAAUCAACAAUAAAUCAGCAACCAUCCGGCGCUGUUUAAAAUUAAGUGAUUAGGUACACCGAUAUGGCAUUUGCGCUAACUACAAUUAAUUUUUGCUGGCACAGCCAGCUUAUUACUCGUUAGGCAACUUUCCAAACUAUAAUUGCACAUUUGGUUUUUUGCGGAAUUGUUAUAGUAUGAAAGACGAUGGUCAAUAUCGACUGACUUCUGCAGUCAAUAUGUCGGGUAUUCCUUUGUUGGAAUUUGGAAAAAUAUGCAUACUGCAUAUAGCGUUCUGAUGAAUGAGUAAAAUUUACUUGGAAUAAUAGUUAUACGGUGUAUACUACGUA